CAAAUAUUUCCUUCGUCCUAAAAUACUUGUCCCUAAAAUGAAUAUAUCUCGACUUAUUUUAGUUAUAGAUAAAUCUAUUUUAUUUAUUUCUAGGACAAUUAUUUUCGGACGAAGGGAGUAAAAU
rnacentral:pre_miRNA from 1 species